rnacentral:rRNA from 1 species
UGGUCAAGUUAUUAAGGGUGCAGGGCGGAUGCCUUGGCACUAGGAGCCGAUGAAGGACGUGAUAAGCUGCGAUAAGCUUCGGGGAGUUGCACGUAAACUUUGAUCCGAAGAUUUCCGAAUGAGGAAACUCACUUAGAGUAAUGUCUAAGUAUCAUUAAGUGAAUACAUAGCUUAAUGAGGGGAACUCAGGGAACUGAAACAUCUAAGUACCUGAAGGAAGAGAAAGAAAUUCGAUUCCGUAAGUAGCGGCGAGCGAACGCGGAGUAGCCCAAACCAAUAAAGUUUUCUUUAUUGGGGUUGCGGACAUAUCAUAACGAAGAGGUAUCGUAAUUGAAGAGGUUUGGAAAGACCCACCACAGAAGGUAAUAGUCCUGUAUGUUAAACGAGAAGACUUUAGAUAUGAUCCAGAGUACCACGGGACACGUGAAACCC